GCCCCUGUAGCUCAGUCGGUAGAGCAGCUCCCUUUUAAGGAGAUGGUCGCAGGUUCGAUUCCUGCCGGGGGCA
rnacentral:tRNA from 1 species